GACGAACGCUGGCGGCGUGCUUAACACAUGCAAGUCGAACGGAAAGGCCCUGCUUGCAGGGUACUCGAGUGGCGAACGGGUGAGUAACACGUGGGUGAUCUGCCCUGCACUUCGGGAUAAGCUUGGGAAACUGGGUCUAAUACCGGAUAGGAGCCAUCCUUAGUGUGGUGGUUGGAAAGUUUUUUCGGUGUGGGAUGAGCUCGCGGCCUAUCAGCUUGUUGGUGGGGUAAUGGCCUACCAAGGCGGCGACGGGUAGCCGGCCUGAGAGGGUGUACGGCCACAUUGGGACUGAGAGACGGCCCAGGCUCCUACGGGAGGCAGCAGUGGGGAAUAUUGCACAAUGGGCGCAAGCCUGAUGCAGCGACGCCGCGUGGGGGAUGAAGGCCUUCGGGUUGGAAACUCCUUUCGCUAGGGACGAAGCUUUUUGUGACGGUACCUAGAUAAGAAGCACCGGCUAACUACGUG
rnacentral:rRNA from 1 species